AUGCUCACUAAUGGAUAUUAAAACAUGGUAGAUUAAUGAGAGCCUGAUAGACCAUGCAGCUGAAAAAACACAUUUUAUUUUGACAGCCAGGCAAUCAAGAGCUACCCAGGGAUUAAAGAGCAAUUCAGAUUAAAUUACCCUCUCCAUUAGGACAUCCUUUCCUUGGUAAAUCCUGAGCUGGAGGAGAGGGGCAAAGAGACACUGUGGCCACCAGAGGCAUUUCUUCAACCUGAGGUUUGCAGGCACAGACUUAAAGGGCCUACUUAGGUUUUAUGCCCUGGCGGGUUAACCAAACACAGGCCAACAGGAGAAAGAGUGCUGGAAUUUUGGAUCAGCAGGGGUUGGAAGUCAUGAGGAGCUUGGAUGGCGGGGAGUGAAGGGGCCGCUGCGUGAUCCAGCGGCCAGUAUAGCAGUGAAGUGUAUUUUCAUCGUUGCGUUGUUAUUUAUUCUCUGGGGUAGUUAUGUACUGCGUGAAUUUAACUCAGCUGGGGCUACACUUCCCAGGUUCCCUCUUCUGUCUGAUUCCUCGUCAGGGUUGGUUGCAGGAGAAGUUUGUGAGAGAUUUGGAAGGUGAACAUGAAGCAGCAGCCAACUUGAUGCUCUGAGGGUGGAAAGAACAUAGUGGCGGCCGGCAUGCACUGCCCCUCACGUGCCGUCUCACCUUCCAGGCUCAGCAAGACCCCGGACCGCCGGGUCCGCUGACUCCCAUCGAGUCUCCCCCAUGGGCACCUCUGUGGCAGAGGAUGCCAGCUCUUCCUUCAUGCCACAGUGAAUUUUCAGUGGUCAGAGACAGAUGUGGGAGGUCCAGGGUGUGUCUGUGGGUUCCAGCUUAUGUGUGUGGGGUCCAGCCUUUCACUGCCCUCUCCCACAUUGCACACAGCUUCCCUGGAAGACCACCCGCCUGCUGACUUAAUAGUGGUGACUUCAGGGACAACACCAGAGGGAAUCACCCUGUAUAGACUCUCCUCUAACCUCCAGGUCUAAUUUUAUCAACACUUAUACUAUUCUAAAUGCCUCAUAGUGGUCCUGCUUCUUGGGUCAGAUUCCCAGUGACACCCAGAUGAUGUGCAGUAGAUUAACGUCUGGGGCUGUUACCAAAGCAAACCCGGGUCUGUUUGCCUACAUGCAGUAAAGCCAGUCUGCUGCUGCUGCUGCUGCGUCACUUCAGUUGUGUCCAACUCUGUGCGACCCCAGAGAUGGCAGCCCACCUGGCUCCCCCGUCCCUGGGAUUACUCCAGAAAGAGAGGUAGAAGGUGAAAAUAGGGUUCAGUGCUUGUUUUGCGGCAGCAAUUAUAGAGGCAUCGUAUACCGCAAGCAGUAAGAGCAACCCCAUCAGCCUCCUUCCCUGAGAACCACAGUUGGCAGCUCAGCAUUAAGCCCCAAGGCUUUGAACUGUGUCUCCGACCAUCUGGGCUGGCUCUCGAUUCAUUUUGUGCAUCCUUUAGCAAGAUGAGAUCUAAGGGGAUGUAUGCAGUUCUUCUCUGACUUUAGGAGGAGAGGCUAGCAGUGGCUCAGCUAACU
ensembl:lncRNA